rnacentral:rRNA from 1 species
UACAGAGGGUGCGAGCGUUGUCCGGAAUCACUGGGCGUAAAGGGCGCGUAGGCGGCCUGAUAAGUAGGGGGUGAAAUCCUGUGGCUCAACUGCAGGGCUGCCUCCUAGACUGUCGGGCUUGAGCACGGUAGAGGCAGAUGGAAUUCCCGGUGUAGCGGUGAAAUGCGUAGAUAUCGUAAGGAAGACCAGUGGCGAAGGCGGGUCCCUGGACAGUUCCUGACGCUGAGGCACGAAGGUCAGGGGAGCAAACGGG